rnacentral:rRNA from 1 species
GAUGAACGCUGGCGGCGUGCCUAAUACAUGCAAGUCGAGCGAACAGACGAGGAGCUUGCUCCUCUGACGUUAGCGGCGGACGGGUGAGUAACACGUGGAUAACCUACCUAUAAGACUGGGAUAACUUCGGGAAACCGGAGCUAAUACCGGAUAAUAUAUUGAACCGCAUGGGUCAAUAGAGAAAGACGGUUGUGCUGGCACUUAUAGAUGGAUCCGCGCCGCAUUAGCUAGUUGGUAAGGUAACGGAUUAUCAAGGCGACUAUGCGUAGCCGAACUGAGAGGGUGAUCGGCCACACUGGAAGUGAACCGGCGUCAAGACUCCUACGGGAGGCAGCAGUAGGGAAUCUUCCGCAAUGGGCGAAAGCCUGACGGAGCAACGCCGCGUGAGUGAUGAAGGUCUUCGGAUCGUAAAACUCUGUUAUUAGGGAAGAACAAAUGUGUAAGUAACUAUGCACGUCUUGACGGUACCUAAUCAGAAAGCCACGGCUAACUACGUG